UACGGAGGGGGCGAGCGUUAUUCGGAAUUACUGGGCGUAAAGCGCACGUAGGCGGAUUGUUAAGUCAGAGGUGAAAUCCCGGAGCUCAACUUCGGAACUGCCUUUGAUACUGGCAAUCUAGAGUCCGGAAGAGGUUAGUGGAAUUCCCAGUGUAGAGGUGAAAUUCGUAGAUAUUGGGAAGAACACCGAUGGCGAAGGCAGCCAUCUGGACCGACACUGACGCUGAGGCGCGAAAGCGUGGGGAGCAAACAGG
rnacentral:rRNA from 1 species